GUGAAUCAUCAAAUUUUUGAACGCAAAUUGCACUCUCCUCGGAGAGUAUGCCUGUUUGAGGGUCAGCCUAUAAAAAAUCGACAUCGUUGCUGUUUCGCGGUGGCGUUCGUCGGAAAUUGGGUCAUCUUAAAUCCUUUUGAUUUAAGCGACUUAAAAUUUUCUUUUGGUUCCAUGAACGUUUAUAAGAUCUAUUUCUUUACACGUUUAAGGUAUCGAUUUUUAUUAGACGUGGCCGCAAUAUCGGAUGGCGGCCAUAAUUUUUCGCUAAAUGG
rnacentral:misc_RNA from 1 species